AUUUGGGAUAAUGCCGUUGUUUUCUUUAUGAAGCGGAAACCUGUAUGGAUGAAAAAUAACGUGACGCCGUCACGACUGUACAAUCUCAAGAGUAACGUCACAUCAAGACACCACUGAAAAAGAAAGCGGAUAUUUUUGUAGAACACGAGAUAUGGAAGAGUUUUACACCUUCAGUGAACUCGAAGAGCUGAGACGGUAUAUGUAAAUGAGCAAGAAACUGAGUGAAAGACAAAAACAGAGCGAAAGUGAACGUGAAAGCGACGAAGACACCGACCAACUCGGCGGUUUUAAUGAAGAACUAGUAAGGAUUUAAAGAUCCGGAUAUGUUUGCUAGUCGAUAGUUUGAUAGUUGGCAUGCCAUUUUGAAUUUCUCAUGAUUUUCAUGGACCUCUUUAAAAUGCAUCGAGCAUCGACUAUGGACAUAGAGCAAUGACAUGGAUGGAUUUUUAAAGCAGCGGCUAAAGAAACUUUAGCAUAUAUCAGAAAACAGCACCUUUUCUUUUCUUGAGGAGUAGAAACGUUAUGAGCUCACCUUAAUCAUGUUGUCGUGUGACUAAAUAAAGUUAUAUUAUCAGAA